GUCACAUCACAUUGAAACACUGAUUCCCGUACAGUCACUUAAGUUAAGCAAUGUUGAGCCUGGUCAGUACCUAGAUGGGUUAGCGCUUGGGAAUACCAGUUGCUGUAAG